ACCACGAGAGACAGACCUAUUCCUAACAUCAGUGAACUUCAGCAUGGACUAAAAGGAAAGGACAUACCUGAAGGACACAACUGCCUCACCGUUUUCGCAGAGGGGCCAGAAGAAAAUGAAAAGCUGAUAUCAGAUAAAGACCAAUACAGGACAUUCACUAAGAAACUACUCUUUUAUUGUGAACAGAAGGUCAAACAGGACCAUCAUUUGUUUGUGACAGCUGUGCCCAGUAUGGGCUCACAGAUGCAGUUAGGUGGUUUCUUCAUCAGGCCUGGUCCUCCUCCCAGAGAAAGACCUCUCCACCUCAGUCCUCUCCAGCCAAACCCACAGACAGGACAUCCGUCACGCUGAGGUUUCUCCCAAAGUCUCUGCACGCUGUCUCAAUAUCUCACGUCGGAAAGUUUAAUUUAAAAGAAGAAGAGGCCCCAAAAAUAAAGAUUGGUAUAUCAAUAAA